rnacentral:rRNA from 1 species
GGGCCCGCACAAGCGGUGGAGCAUGUGGUUUAAUUCGAUGCAACGCGAAGAACCUUACCUACUCUUGACAUCCAGAGAAGCCAGCGGAGACGCAGGUGUGCCUUCGGGAGCUCUGAGACAGGUGCUGCAUGGCUGUCGUCAGCUCGUGUUGUGAAAUGUUGGGUUAAGUCCCGCAACGAGCGCAACCCUUAUCCUUGUUUGCCAGCACAUAAUGGUGGGAACUCCAGGGAGACUGCCGGUGAUAAACCGGAGGAAGGUGGGGACGACGUCAAGUCAUCAUGGCCCUUACGAGUAGGGCUACACACGUGCUACAAUGGCGUAUACAGAGGGCUGCCAACCAGCGAUGGUGAGCGAAUCCCAGAAAGUACGUCGUAGUCCGGAUUGGAGUCUGCAACUCGACUCCAUGAAGUCGGAAUCGCUAGUAAUCG